CAACGAAACGGCGCCCUCACCGGCGCCGGUUCUCAAACCACUGCGUAUGAAGCUCUCGAGGUUGCCUCCCGGCUGGCGUGCGGCUCCCGCGCGCCCGCCGGGGGGUCAACAGCCCGAGACUCGUUUCCUUCGCGGGGUACCCCCCGCGGCAGGACGCUACCAAACAUUUUGUCAAGAUGUCAUCGUCUGAACCUAUUGAAAAAAUAGAAAAUA
rnacentral:misc_RNA from 1 species